rnacentral:rRNA from 1 species
UACGAAGGGGGCUAGCGUUGUUCGGAAUUACUGGGCGUAAAGCGCACGUAGGCGGACUAUUAAGUCAGGGGUGAAAUCCCGGGGCUCAACCCCGGAACUGCCUUUGAUACUGGUAGUCUCGAGUCCGGAAGAGGUGAGUGGAAUUCCGAGUGUAGAGGUGAAAUUCGUAGAUAUUCGGAGGAACACCAGUGGCGAAGGCG